rnacentral:rRNA from 1 species
UAGGGAAUCUUCGGCAAUGGGGGGAACCCUUGACCGAGCAACGCCGGCGUGAGUGAAGAAGGUUUUCGGAUCGUAAAGCUCUGUUGUUAAGGAAGAACGAGUGUGAGAAUGGAAAGUUCAUACUGUGACGGUACUUAACCAGAAAGGGACGGCUAACUACGUGCCAGCAGCCACGGUAAUACGUAGGUCCCGAGCGUUGUCCGGAUUUAUUGGGCGUAAAGCGAGCGCAGGCGGUUAGAAAAGUCUGAAGUGAAAGGCAGUGGCUCAACCAUUGUAGGCUUUGGAAACUGUUUAACUUGAGUGCAGAAGGGGAGAGUGGAAUUCCAUGUGUAGCGGUGAAAUGCGUAGAUAUAUGGAGGAACACCGGUGGCGAAAGCGGCUCUCUGGUCUGUAACUGACGCUGAGGCUCGAAAGCGUGGGGAGCGAACAGGAUUAGAUACCCUGGUAGUCCACGCCGUAAACGAUGAGUGCUAGGUGUUAGGUCCUUUCCGGGACUUAGUGCCGCAGCUAACGCAUUAAGCACUCCGCCUGGGGAGUACGACCGCAAGUUG